rnacentral:rRNA from 1 species
UACGUAGGGACCAAGCGUUGUCCGGAAUCAUUGGGCGUAAAGCGCGCGUAGGUGGCUUCAUAAGUCCGUUGUGAAAGUCAAAGGCUCAACCUUUGAAAGCCGAUGGAUACUGUGGAGCUAGAGUACGGAAGAGGCGAGUGGAAUUUCUGGUGUAGCGGUGGAAUGCGCAGAUAUCAGGAGGAACACCAAUAGCGAAGGCAGCUCGCUGGGACGUUACUGACACUAAGGCGCGAAAGCGUGGGGAGCGAACAGG